ACUUAUUGUUAGUAUUUGGAUACAAUUUAAGGAACAAACUCCACAGAAAUAAGAGCACUUUUCUGAAUGCAGAAUAAAAAAAAGAAAAAAACCCAGGAAAACAAUUAAAUUGAUGAGACAUGAGAAUGAUCUACUGAUAUGUGAAACUUGUUGGAAUGAAAGCCACUAACCACAGUGGUACUCCGAAGCUGAACCCCUGCUUUAUCAACAGCAAAUUGUUUCUGCUUUAUGAAGUCUUCUAGCUGCCUAAGAGCAAGGGGAAGACACCAGCGCUUCCGAUUGCAACAGAUGGCGUCCAACCGUCACUUCCUCUUCUGACUCCCAAGGACCACGUCACUUCUGGUGCCCUCGCCAUGACGCCACUUCCGGCCCCUUCGACAUGACGUCACUUCCGGUUCCGCAUCACUUCCGGCUUCCAAAGAUGACGUUGCUCCCGUCUGACAGCAAUGAUGUCAUCUCCUGCCAACUCACUUCCGUCCACCAUUUUGACUCUGUAUAAA